rnacentral:rRNA from 1 species
CAGGAUGAACGCUAGCGACAGGCUAACACAUGCAAGUCGAGGGCAGCAUAAAAGUAGCAAUACGUUGGUGGCGACCGGCGCACGGGUGAGUAACGCGUAUGCAACCUACCUAUCAGACGGGGAAUAACCCGGCGAAAGUCGGACUAAUACCGCAUAAAACAGGGGCACCGCAUGGUGAUAUUUGUUAAAGAAAUUCGCUGAUAGAUGGGCAUGCGUUCCAUUAGGUAGUUGGUGAGGUAACGGCUCACCAAGCCGACGAUGGAUAGGGAACUGAGAGGUUGGUCCCCCACACUGGUACUGAGACACGGACCAGACUCCUACGGGAGGCAGCAGUGAGGAAUAUUGGUCAAUGGGCGGGAGCCUGAACCAGCCAAGUCGCGUGAAGGAAGAAGGAUCUAUGGUUCGUAAACUUCUUUUGCAGGGGAAUAAAGUGCAGGACGUGUCCUGUUUUGUAUGUACCCUGAGAAUAAGGAUCGGCUAACUCCGUGCCAGCCGCAGC